UACGGAGGGUGCGAGCGUUGUUCGGAAUCACUGGGCGUAAAGGGCGUGUAGGCGGUCCGCUAAGUCUGAUGUGAAAGCCCGGGGCUCACCCCCGGAAGGGCAUUGGAAACUGACGGACUCGAGUCCCGAAGAGGAGGGUGGAAUUCCUGGUGUAGCGGUGAAAUGCGUAGAUAUCAGGAGGAACACCUGUGGUGUAGACAGCUUACUGGACCAUUUCUGACGCUGAGACACGAAAGCGUGGGUAGCAAACAGG
rnacentral:rRNA from 1 species